GGGGAAUCUUUGGGGAAUUUUAGGAGUUUUCGGGAAUUUGGGGCUCUCCCAAUCCCGGAAUUCUGGCGUUUCCCGGCAGGUCCAAGCGCACGCUGGGGCUGGGCGGCCUCUAUGGGGAGAACGAGCUGCAGCAGCUGGAACAGCUGGAAAAACAUCCGGAAAAACAGCUGGAAAAACAGACGGAAAAACAGCCGGAAAAGGCUCCGGAGCCGCCGGAAUUCCGGGAACGGGAACGGGCGGCGGCCGAGCGGCAGCUGGGGCACCUCGGGGACAUCCUGUGAGACGGGAUUUGGGAAUUCUGAGGGGAUUUGGGAAUUCCCAGUGGGAUUUGGGGAAUUCUCGAUGGGAUUUGGGAAUUUCCGGUGGGAUUUGGGAAUUCCCAGGGGAUUUGGGAAUUCUUGAUGGGAUUUUGGGAAUUCCCGAUGGGAUUUUGGAAUUCCUGAUGGGAUCUUUGAGAAUUCCCGGUGAGAUUUGGGGAUUCCCGAUGGGAUCUUUGGGAUUUCCCGUGGGAUCUUUGGGAAUUCCCGAUGGGAUUUGGGAAUUCCUGAGGGCAUUGGGAAUUCCAGCUGGGAUUCGGGGCUGGAAUGGGAAUUUUGGGAUUGGGAACUGGGAUUUGGCCUUGGGAAUGGCAGAAUUCCAGGGAAUUCCUUUUCCCGCAGCUCCAAGUACGAGGAGGAGCGGAGCGCUCCCAUGGCCUUCGCCCUCAGCACCUUCAUGGCCCACGCCGGGAUCCGGCCCCAGGAAUUCCGGGAAUUCCGGGAAUCUCGGAAUUCCGGAGCCUCCGAGAAGAUCCCGGACAAGGACAAGUGGCUGCCCUUCUUCCCCAAGGCCAAAAAGAGCAGCAGCUCCAGGAAGGAGAAGGAGCAGAGGCAGAAUCCGAUCCUGAAAUACAUCGGGAAACCCCGGAGCUGCUCCCAGAGCACCUUUCACGUCCCCCUGUCCCCCGGGGAAGCCGGGAAGCCGGGGAGCGUCCGGACCAUGAUCCAGCACUUCGAGAACGGCCACGGGGAAACGCCGGAGCCGCCGGAGCGCGCCAGCAGCUCCCGGGCCGAGGGGCGCCUGGGCCGCUCGGAGUCGCUGAAGGGCCGGGAGGAGCUGCGGCGCUCCGAGCCCGUCCCGCGCUCCCGCAGCGACGUGGACAUGGACGCCGGGAAUUCCGGGAAUUCCGGGAAUUCCGGCAGCACCGGGAGCGACACCCCCCGGCUGCACUCGGCCUCCUCCUCCGCCUCCAGCCUCUCCAACAGAUCCCUGGAAAAUCCCACCCCCCCUUACACGCCAAAGAUGGGGCGCAGGAGCCUGGACUCUCCCCUCGGGGCCGAUCCCUUCCUCCCGCACCUCCUGGAGGACGAGCCGGGCCCCGAUCCCGACCCGGAGGCGGAUCCCGAAUCCCAGGAUCCCCCCAAUUCCCCGAAUUCCCGGAAUCCCCCGAAUUCCCAGAGCUGGCAGCACUCGGUCAGCCGGGAGCUCCUGGCCGGCCUCUCCCAGCGCGAGGUGGAUCGGCAGGAGGUCAUCAACGAGCUGUUUGUCACCGAGCUGUCCCACCUCCGUGUCCUGCGCGUUUUGGAUUCGCUCUUCCUGCAGCGCCUGCGCCGGGAGCAGCUCCUGAGCCAGGAGGAGCUGGGGCUGCUCUUCCCCAACCUGCCCGAGCUCAUCGCCGUGCACAGUGAGCCUGUCCCAAAUUCCCAAAAUCCCAAAAUUCUGAAAUCCCAAAUCCCCAAAAUCCUGAAAUCCUCAAAUCCCCAAAUCCCCAAAUCCCCAAAAUCCCAA
ensembl:lncRNA